AGGGGUAUAGCUCAGUAGUAGAGUGGGUGAUUAAUAUGUACAAUGUCCUGGGUUCAGUCCCUAGUACUUCCA
rfam:Camelus ferus isolate Naran unplaced genomic scaffold scaffold2793, whole genome shotgun sequence.